UACGAAGGGUGCAAGCGUUACUCGGAAUCACUGGGCGUAAAGCGUGCGUAGGCGGUUCGUUAAGUCUGCUGUGAAAGCCCUGGGCUCAACCUGGGAACUGCAGUGGAUACUGUCGGGCUUGAGUACGGAAGAGGCGAGUGGAAUUCCUGGUGUAGCGGUGAAAUGCGCAGAUAUCAGGAGGAACACCAAUUGCGAAGGCAGCUCGCUGGGACGUUACUGACGCUGAGACGCGAAAGCGUGGGGAGCAAACAGG
rnacentral:rRNA from 1 species